rnacentral:rRNA from 1 species
UACGUAGGUGGCAAGCGUUAUCCGGAUUUAUUGGGCGUAAAGGGAACGCAGGCGGUCUUUUAAGUCUGAUGUGAAAGCCUUCGGCUUAACCGGAGUAGUGCAUUGGAAACUGGGAGACUUGAGUGCAGAAGAGGAGAGUGGAACUCCAUGUGUAGCGGUGAAAUGCGUAGAUAUAUGGAAGAACACCAGUGGCGAAAGCGGCUCUCUGGUCUGUAACUGACACUGAGGCACGAAAGCGUGGGGAGCAAACAGG